rnacentral:rRNA from 1 species
UACAGAGGGUGCGAGCGUUGUUCGGAAUUAUUGGGCGUAAAGGGCGCGUAGGCGGUGCGGUAAGUCACCUGUGAAAUCUCCUGGCUCAACUGGGAGCUUGCAGGCGAAACUGCCGUGCUGGAGUGUGGGAGAGGUGCGUGGAAUUCCCGGUGUAGCGGUGAAAUGCGUAGAUAUCGGGAGGAACGCCUGUGGCGAAAGCGGCGCACUGGACCACAACUGACGCUGAGGCGCGAAAGCUAGGGGAGCAAACAGG